CUGUUCUUCGUCAUUCCGGAAUCAUUGCGGUGACACAAGCGGCAACAUCGCAAGACAUCUCCGGAGACGCGUAGAUCGUUAGCGAAUCUUCUGGAACAGUGGUCUAGCUGAUAUAUCAAGGAGCCCACGCCGCAGAGUGCAGUUCAAAUCGGAACAUUGGCGCGACUUGUAAAGUUUAUAAAGUUUAUAAAAGGCGAGAUGUUCCAACGCCGCCGCCGCGACAGUACUGAAGGCGGAUUCUCAAUCAUCUUCUCGAGACGUGACGUCUCGAGUUGCUACGAAAUGCGAUUCCCAAUCCAUUUCGUUCUCGAUAGCGAGUCGGGAUCUAUCGAGUUCAUCUGUCAUUUUCGCUCGGGACCUAAGAAGCUGCCGAGAACGGUAAAAGAAGCGAUCUAUUAGUCGAAAAAUCUCCUAUUUCUUUUUUUCGUUGUGUGUGUCUAUCUCUAUCGGACAUCGACAACGACAAUCCGUUGUUGGUUCAUGUUCUUCAGCUUAAGUUUGAAUUUUUGAUAUUUUGAUUUUUUGUUUGGGAGUACAAGUACAGAGUAUUUCCAAAUAUUUUCCAAAAGUUUUAAAUCGAUCCUUUCCGCACCUUAGGCAGCGUGCAGUUGGAGAAUCCGGUAAGUUGUUUGUUUAUUUAUGCAUAUCAUUACAAUAACAAUUAAAAUUACAAUAGCUUAUGGUAUGAAAUAUACAUUUUAUUAGUUUAAAUUAGGAGCCUGCCAUAUAAUAAUAUUUAUUAAACAGGUCCAAUUUUAUUUUCUCAUGUAGCUAAUUAUAUUUAUAACUAUUUUUUUGGUAAUAAACUUUUUUGACUUUGACUUUGAGGUACCUAGGAAGAAUGCAAAUACAGCAUGUGGAAGUUUUGGCAGACUUUAUGGAAGACAACCCUGAAUUUGCAAGGGGUAGACUUUCUGCCUCGAAUGCUAGGGAGAAGUUCAAGGCACUGUGGGGAAAUUUAACCACCAGGUUAAAUUCCUUAGGACUUGGUGUUAGAGAUGUGGCAAAGUGGCAAAAAACAUGGUCUGAUUACAAAAGUAAUUUAAAAAAAAAAGCUGCCGAAAUAAAAAGGUAUCAAGAAGGCACAGGUGGUGGUCCAGCAACCCGUAAGACUUUGUCAGAUUUAGAACAGAGAAUCCUUAACAUUCUGGGCACUAUGUUUUAGGCAGGGGUUGGUGUGGAGGAAAGAGGUAUAAAUGUUAGCAUAUCAGGCCCUUCAACCUCAACACCUUAUACCACAACCUCUUGUUGCUUAUCGCAGCAAU